rnacentral:lncRNA from 1 species
CACUCUGAAGAGCUGAUGCAGACUGGAGUCACAGCAGGAUCAUGAUCUUUUUUUUUUUAUAGUAUCUCAUUGUGGUUUUGAUUUGCAUUUCUCUAAUGACCAGUGAUAAUGAGCUUCUUUUCAUAUGUUUGUUGGCUGCUGCAUAAAUGUCUUUAAGAAUCCACUCUUCAGAGCUGAUUCCGACUGGAUUUUGGUCAGCCAUGAAGUGGUAUCUGACUGCAACACACUCUACUUCAAACAUAGUCAUGUUUUAGGAUGAGGCCAUCUUCAAGCCUGAGAUCCGUUUCUCAUAGAAAGUGUUUAUGCUGAAAGCAUAUGGGCCCUAAGAGUUCACUUCUCCUGCAGGCUUCACCAUGAAGACCCCCCCAGUUAUUGGCAAGUUCAUUCCACCUCCGCUUCCAACCCCCCUACACGACGGAAGGACGGGCCCAAUGUGACACUGUGUGAACUCUGAUUUCCUUUGGUAACAAAUACUUCUGUUAAAAUAUAUCCAGAUGUCAGCGCUAGAUGAUAAAUUUGAACAAACACAUUUUGGUUAAAUUAGUAUGAUUAUUUUGACUUUCCAGUGUUUACUUGGUUUGUUAAGCAUUUUUACUUCUCUCUACCAUUGAGGAAAGACAAGUGGGAUAAUUUAUUUUGAGGAAGGAAAACUCAAAGCUAUCACGUAUGUGAAAAAACAUGUGAGGUAUCUGAGUUGUUGAAAUCACGAUUGAUCCUAAUUGAUACUUACAAGUUAUAGAAAAUGUGGCAAUGGAUUGCCAAUCAAUAUUUAAAAACUGAAAACCUGUUGGUAGAUAACAUGGUUUCUCUAGGAAACAAACGGCUGCACUCCCAACAGAUUUGUAAAUAUCUCAUUGACUCAAAGCAAAGAAGUCAAUAA